rnacentral:rRNA from 1 species
UACAGAGGGUGCAAGCGUUAAUCGGAAUUACUGGGCGUAAAGCGUACGUAGGCGGUUACAUAAGUCGGGUGUGAAAGCCCCGGGCUCAACCUGGGAAUUGCAUUCGAGACUGCGUAGCUAGGGUGCGGAAGAGGGAAGCGGAAUUUCCGGUGUAGCGGUGAAAUGCGUAGAUAUCGGAAGGAACACCAGUGGCGAAAGCGGCUUCCUGGUCCAGCACCGACGUUCAGGCACGAAAGCGUGGGGAGCAAACAGG